AUGUGCUCUUUCUCUCUAGGCCUGGUUGCAGGAUGUGUGUGUGUGUGUGUGCGCUCACGUGCUCUCUCUAGGCCUGGUUGCAGGCUCUGUGUGUGUGUGUGUGCUCACAUGCUCUCUCCCUCUAGGCCUGCUUGCAGCUGUGUGUGUGUGUGUGUGUACACGCACAUGCUCUCUCUAGGCCUGCUUGCAGCUGCGUGUGUGUGUGUGUGUGUGGGCGUGCACACGUGCUCUCUCUCUAGGCCUGGUUGCAGGAUGUGUGUGUGUGUGUGUGCGCUCACGUGCUCUCUCUAGGCCUGCUUGCAGCUGUGUGUGUGUGUGUGUGUGCGCUCACGUGCUCUCUCUAGGCCUGCUUGCAGCUGCGUGUGUGUGUGUGUGUGUGUACACGCACAUGCUCUCUCUAGGCCUGCUUGCAGCUGCGUGUGUGUGUGUGUGUGUGUACACGCACAUGCUCUCUCUAGGCCUGGUUGUAGGCACUGUGUGUGUGUGUGCUCACAUGCUCUCUCCCUCUAGGCCUGCUUGCAGCUGCGUGUGUGUGUGUGUGUGUGCGCUCACGUGCUCUCUCUAGGCCUGCUUGCAGCUGCGUGUGUGUGUGUGUGUGUGGGCGUGCACACGUGCUCUCUCUAGGCCUGGUUGCAGGCUCUGUUUGUGUGGGUGUGCACACGUGCUCUCUCUAGGCCUGCUUGCAGCUGUGUGGGUGUGUGUAUACACACACAUGUGCUCUUUCUCUCUAGGCCUGGUUGCAGGAUGUGUGUGUGUGUGUGUGCGCUCACGUGCUCUCUCUAGGCCUGCUUGCAGCUGCGUGUGUGUGUGUGUGUGUGUACACGCACAUGCUCUCUCUAGGCCUGGUUGUAGGCACUGUGUGUGUGUGUGCUCACAUGCUCUCUCCCUCUAGGCCUGCUUGCAGCUGUGUGGGUGUGUGUAUACACACACAUGUGCUCUUUCUCUCUAGGCCUGGUUGCAGGAUGUGUGUGUGUGUGUGUGCGCUCACGUGCUCUCUCUAGGCCUGCUUGCAGCUGCGUGUGUGUGUGUGUGUGUGCGCUCACGUGCUCUCUCUAGGCCUGGUUGCAGGCUCUGUGUGUGUG
rnacentral:lncRNA from 1 species